AAACUUCAAAUCCAAUUCAAAUGAACUUGGAUAAGUCCAAUUGGAUCAUCAUAAGUCUAACAUGGUCAAACAAGGUUUGACAAAUUUUCUCAACAAUUUUGGAAAACAGAAACUAUUUUUAAACAAUUAAAAAUUAAGAAAAAUAACACAAAAGAAUUAAAAUCUCAAAUAAAUCUCAAAUAAAUUAAGAAAUUUAUGAGAAUAUUUUUCAUAGACUUAUCAUCAU
rnacentral:lncRNA from 1 species